rnacentral:rRNA from 1 species
UGUUGGGUUAAAUCCCGCAACGAGCGCAACCCUUAUCCUUUGUUGCCAGCGAUUAGGUCGGGAACUCAAAGGAGACUGCCAGUGAUAAACUGGAGGAAGGUGGGGAUGACGUCAAGUCAUCAUGGCC